UACGUAGGGUGCGAGCGUUGCCGGAAUUAUUGGGCGUAAAAGGGGCUCGUAGGCGGUCUGUUGCGUCGGGAGUGAAAACUCAGGGCUUAACCCUGAGCCUGCUUCCGAUACGGGCAGACUAGAGGUAUGCAGGGGAGAACGGAAUUCCUGGUGUAGCGGUGAAAUGCGCAGAUAUCAGGAGGAACACCGGUGGCGAAGGCGGUUCUCUGGGCAUUACCUGACGCUGAGGAGCGAAAGCGUGGGGAGCAAACAGG
rnacentral:rRNA from 1 species